UACCCCUCCCCCCAUCCCGCCUGCCCAGUGUUCAGACUACCUGUUCAGGAAGUAGUGGUUGUACAGUAGUCUGCACAUUGGUUAGGCUGGUUAGGGAAGUGCG
ensembl:miRNA mir199a-3 microRNA mir-199a-3